rnacentral:rRNA from 1 species
AAGGAUCAUUGUUGAAACCCUGCACAGCAGAACGACCCGCGAACUAGUAAAAUUACAACCGGGGGGCGAGGGGCAAACCCAGACCCCCCUCGGCUGGGGCGGCGCCGGCUCGGGCUUCGCUUGCCGAUGCCCGCCGCCGUCGUCUCCCCCGCCGCACAAACGAACCCCGGCGCAAACCGCGCCAAGGAACUCGAACGAAUCAAGCAUUGCCCCGGCGCCCCAGAGAUGGUGCGCGUUCGGGGUGCUGCGUCGUAUUCUGUAUGUCAUAACGACUCUCGGCAACGGAUAUCUCGGCUCUCGCAUCGAUGAAGAACGUAGCGAAAUGCGAUACUUGGUGUGAAUUGCAGAAUCCCGUGAACCAUCGAGUCUUUGAACGCAAGUUGCGCCCGAAGCCACUAGGCCGAGGGCACGUCUGCCUGGGCGUCACACAACGUUGCCCCCCCAACCCCAAACCUCGUCUUCGAGGAGGAAGGGGGGGCGGAUGCUGGCCUCCCGUGCGCCCCGGCUCGCGGCUGGCCCAAAUGCGAGCACUCGGCGACGAGCGCCGCGGCAAUCGGUGGUUGUCCAACCCUCGGUGCCAUGCUGCGCGCGCGAGCCGCUCAUCCGUGCUCGUCGACCCCCAACGCGCCGUACACGCGGCGUUUACAACGCGACCCCAGGUCAGGCGGGGCUACCCGCUG